AUUGAACGCUGGCGGAAUGCCUAACACAUGCAAGUCGAACGGCAGCAUGAGUAGAGCUUGCUCUACUUGAUGGCGAGUGGCGGACGGGUGAGUAAUAUGUAGGAAUCUACCUAGAGGAGGGGGAUAACUUGGGGAAACUCAAGCUAAUACCACAUAAGCCCUACGGGGGAAAGCAGGGGACCGCAAGGCAUUGCGCCUGAUGAUGACCCUACAUCGGAUUAGCUAGUUGGUGGGGUAAAGGCCUACCAAGGCGACGAUCCGUAGCUGGUCUGAGAGGAUGAUCAGCCACACUGGGACUGAGACACGGCCCAGACUCCUACGGGAGGCAGCAGUGGGGAAUAUUGGACAAUGGGCGAAAGCCUGAUCCAGCAAUGCCGCGUGUGUGAAGAAGGCCUUAGGGUUGUAAAGCACUUUCAGUGGGGAGGAAGGUUAUGAUGAUAAUACCAUUGUAAUUUGACGUUACCCACAGAAGAAGCACCGGCUAACUCUGUGCCAGCAGCCGCCGUAA
rnacentral:rRNA from 1 species